rnacentral:rRNA from 1 species
GAUGAACGCUGGCGGCGUGCUUAACACAUGCAAGUCGAGCGAGAAGUUUUGAAAAGAUUCUUCGGAUGAAAUUUAAAAUGGAAAGCGGCGGACGGGUGAGUAACGCGUAGGCAACCUGCCCCAUACAAAGGGAUAGCAUUUGGAAACGAAUAUUAAUACCUUAUGAAACUUAACUAGUGCAUGCUAGGUUGGUCAAAGAUUUAUCGGUAUGGGAUGGGCCUGCGUCUGAUUAGCUAGUUGGUGAGGUAACGGCUCACCAAGGCGACGAUCAGUAGCCGACCUGAGAGGGUGAACGGCCACAUUGGAACUGAGACACGGUCCAAACUCCUACGGGAGGCAGCAGUGGGGAAUAUUGCACAAUGGGGGAAACCCUGAUGCAGCAACGCCGCGUGAACGAUGAAGGCCUUUGGGUCGUAAAGUUCUGUUCUAGGUGAUGAAAA